rnacentral:rRNA from 1 species
AGAGUUUGAUCAUGGCUCAGAACGUACGCUGGCGGCACGCCUAACACAUGCAAGUCGAACGAAGUAGCAAUACUUAGUGGCAGACGGGUGAGUAACAUGCUGGUAUCUGCCCUUUGGCCUGGAAUAACACGAGGAAACUUGUGCUAAUACCGGAUAAGUCUUUACGGAGAAAGCUUUAUGCACCAUUGGAUGAGCCUGCACUUGAUUAGUUUGUUGGUGGGGUAAUGGCCUACCAAGACUUUGAUCAAUAGCUGAUUUGAGAGGAUGAUCAGCCACACUGGGACUGAGACACGGCCCAGACUCCUACGGGAGGCAGCAGUGGGGAAUUUUCCGCAAUGGGCGAAAGCCUGACGGAGCAACGCCGCGUGAGGGACGAAGGCCUCUGGGCUGUAAACCUCUUUUCUCAAGGAAGAAGAUAUGACGGUACUUGAGGAAUAAGCCACGGCUAAUUCCGUGCCAGCAGCCGCGGUAAUACGGGAGUGGCAAGCGUUAUCCGGAAUUAUUGGGCGUAAAGCGUCCGCAGGCGGCUUUUCAAGUCUGCUGUUAAAGCGUGGAGCUUAACUCCAUCAUGGCAGUGGAAACUGAAAGGCUUGAGUAUGGUAGGGGCAGAGGGAAUUCCCGGUGUAGCGGUGAAAUGCGUAGAUAUCGGGAAGAACACCAGUGGCGAAGGCGCUCUGCUGGGCCAUUACUGACGCUCAUGGACGAAAGCCAGGGGAGCGAAAGGGAUUAGAUACCCCUGUAGUCCUGGCCGUAAACGAUGAACACUAGGUGUCGGGGGAAUCGACCCCUUCGGUGUCGUAGCUAACGCGUUAAGUGUUCCGCCUGGGGAGUACGCACGCAAGUGUGAAACUCAAAGGAAUUGACGGGGGCCCGCACAAGCGGUGGAGUAUGUGGUUUAAUUCGAUGCAACGCGAAGAACCUUACCAGGGUUUGACAUCCUGCGAACCUCUUAGAAAUUUGAGGGUGCCUUCGGGAAUGCAGUGACAGGUGGUGCAUGGCUGUCGUCAGCUCGUGUCGUGAGAUGUUGGGUUAAGUCCCGCAACGAGCGCAACCCUUGCCCUCAGUUGCCAGCAGUUCGGCUGGGCACUCUGGGGGGACUGCCGGUGACAAGCCGGAGGAAGGUGGGGAUGACGUCAAGUCCUCAUGGCCUUUAUAUCCAGGGCUACACACGUGUUACAAUG